GGAUUGGGUCAUGUAUUGCUGUUCUUAUGGCAUCUCUGGCAGAAACAAAUUUACAUUAUCUCAGAGCUGAGAUCCCAGUCUAUCAAGAACUUUCACUGACCCUGCUAGACACUAAGGAAAAAUCCAUCAAGAGGACAGUGAAGAAUGAAGCAUAUGUGGCAGUAAUGGUAGCUGAGGCAAGGACCUGCUCCUCUCUAUGACAAAGGCUGCUCUUUGUGAUUCUUCAUCCCAGAGAUUUGGCAUCCUUACCAAUUCUACCUAUGUUUUCUGCUGGUAUGUGGGCACAUGGAGAUGAUAUUUUAUUGUUACUGGAAGGUAAUAAUUCCUCAGUGAUAAAUUCUUGUUAAACUGGUUUCCAGGAAAGCGAAAAAAUCGAAAUACUUGAAGAAAACUAGACUUCAUAAAUUGCACACACACACACACACACACACACACACACACACACACACACACACACACACACACAAAUAAUUCAGGAAGGCCUGAGACCCAGUUCUCACCUUCAUUCUUUGUCAUUUUUGAUGGACUGGUUUUCUAUUCAUCCAUUCAUUCCCAUCUACAGCUAACAAAUAAUUUUUGGUUUUCAAAACCAACACUGGACAGCAAGAGCAAUUAUAGUUGCAUUGAAGAGACUUGAUUCUGUCCACUUAAAGCUGAAAUAGAUGGUUUCAGAAGCGGAGUUACCUAGCCAGAUUUAGAGGUCAGCAGUGUAAAGGGUUGAAAUAAUUCUUUUCCAGGUAGCAGAGAAAUGUCAGCCAGUCUAUAGUUAGAUGUGAUCUCGAGUAGUAUUAAUAAUUCUAUCAGUUCUUCCUCUCUUCUCAUUUUUCUGCUCCCCAAACAUACUUACAUUUGUUCAGUGGCGAAAAUGAGCAGCAUUCACAGAUAAGAGUAGAAAGUUAAUUUUUUGUUUUACAAACUUAGUAGUUUUGAACCAUUUACAGAAAGGGAUAGAGUCUCUGUGUUCCAGUGAGAUAUGAAGUAACUGCUUGCAACACAUCCUCAGUUACUGAAAUUGAAAUUAUGACAUUUUUUCUGCCUAGAGACCUUGAGAAAUUUACCUGGCACUGUUUUUUCUUUAAUUUUCUUUUUUAAAAUUAUUAUUAUUUUUAUUACCGUACCAAACUUAUCUCAGUAAACCUUUUCAUCAUAUAGAAUAAAAUUAGUGCAUCAUCUUGGAAUUUAUGAGAAACUGCAUAUAAUGUUGCUUAUGAAAUCGUUAAUUCAGCAAAGGCCUCUUUUGCUCUCUUCAUCAGUGUUCUGCAAAAUACCCCUUUUCAGGCUGAUGUGUUUUGGUGAUAUGUCUGAUUAUGGUUUAUAUUGUUAUAUUUUGAUUUUAUGCCUUUUACACUAUUCUUAUCUAUCGUGUUCAGUGUAAAAUUAUUCUUUAGCAGUGUAAAGUUGCAAUAAGAUAAAAAAGUAGAAUGUAUAUGUAUAUAAAAGCAUAUAGCUUCUUAUAUAAGACAAUAUUUUAAACUUCUUCAAAUACAAGGAAACGAGCUUGUGUCAAAUAAAUGUUUUAUAGAAUUUAUUUAUUUUUUCAUGAUGGAUUGGCAAGAACUUUUUAUGUGCUUCAGAAACAGAUAGUUGGAAAAGGACCUCAAAGAGUCCAUUUUAACAAUUUAAAAUGAAAGACUUUUCUUGUCCAGCUCUUCAUGUGAACUCAAAUUAGCAUUCUGUGUUCAUCUUGAGCUUGGAUAGAUUUGAAGCCUUUCAUGUCUAAAACCACAUGAUCAAGGGCAAAAUCUUUUGCUAUCACUGGAAUCUGGAGGGGGAAACAAGACAUGCACACGUGGCUUUAUCACUUUGUGUUUUACUGCAGAGACCAUGAAAAAAAAUCUCCACUGUGUUAUAUUUAAUUAAAGCACACUGCCCCCUUUUGAAUUUCUUUUUAACAAAAAAUAAAUCCUUCUUCAUUAGAGAUGUAGAGACCUAUGGUAUGUAGUCUCUUACCACAAUGCUAGUUUUAACUGUACUUUAAACAGCUUACAAAUGACAGAUUCUAUAGAAAAUAAUUUGAUAGCGCCAUCAUUAAUUCUAUUGAAGAAUCUUAGAGCUGAGUCUAAGAAUCAUGCCUGAAUAUUGUCCUUCAUGAAAUAUUAUCUCCUGGAUUUUCACCAGCAGGCAAAAUCUAUAGGAAUUACAGUGCAACACAAUUGCAUCUUUUUUUUUUAGUUUCAUCCAGUGCUUCUCAUUUUUUGAAAUUCUUCACUGAAAUUUAUUUGAAGACAAAAGAAUUACCUACUUUAUUAAAUAUAUGCAGCCUAGCUGAUUACCUACAAAAAAUUAUGUGUAUAUUUGUCCUGAUGUUAAGGAAAUAUGGUCAUGACUACUUUGAAAGUUGUUUGAAUUUACAGAUCACUGUGCCUGUGUCUAAUUAAGGUGAAAUAGGAAAACUAAAAUUAAAAAAGGUGACAGAAGAAAGAAAACUGUAUUGUAGAAGCGAGAAAAAAUAUGGAGAAAUCAAAUAUGACAGUGAAUAAAGAAAGAGUGAAAAGACACAAAGAUAUACACUCUGGAAAGCAAAUUCUGAAGUCUAUGUGUGAGUAGUUCUGUGUACAGGCACAUAUAAAAGAAGUCAGGUCCUUCUAUCUUAAUAUGUACCCAUAAAAGAUUUAUUUUUAUGGAAAAAAAUAAAAACAAUGAUAAAAAGUUACCUGAAGCAUCCAUAUGUACAGAAUAAACUUGCACAGGCAACUCAGAUUUACAUUUGAAGGAAAAACAGAGCAGUAAACUGACAAAAUUUUGAGAAUGAAAUAUAUUUUUCAGACAUUUCAGAAGGUACACAUUAGGUAAUUCACACUUUACUGCAGAGAAAUGAUGCUUAGGAAUUGUAGCAAAAUUAGGAAGGCUUUCAACAAUUUCUGAUUUUUCUGCUGGUGUAAGUCAAGCACUGAAAAAAAUCUAGGCUAAAAUUUGGAGUAUCUUUUGAGCCAAUAUUGAAAAGUAAUUUCUCACUAGAAAGAAGGCACUUGGAUCUUUGACUUUGAUUUUUAUCCUUUUUACACUACUUGUCAAGUGACCAUGAUUGAGACCUGAAGUUAUUUUUGGAGAAAGCUAAUUGUAGCAUGACUGCUUGACAAAAGUGGAAAAAACACAUCUUAUUGCAUUCUGCAGGCAAUUAGAACAGAAACUAAUAACAAUUUUAAUCCUUCCAAAUGGAAAUAGCUUUACAUUCUUUGUAGAACUAAUUCUGAAUACGCAGUUGCAUUCAGAUUUUAAGUAAGACAAAUCAUUUUAAAAGAGUAAGAAUUUUAAAUAAAUGUACAUUAACUAAAGUAUGCACUUAUAAAAAUAUUUUCUAUGAAUUAUUCACUAACAAUAGGCUCCAGAUAGCUUGUUUACAGGGGUCUGACUGUUUCAAGGCAAAUCCACAGACCUCUCCUAACACCGUACUAACUGUAAUAUUGUCAACAACUAUUACUAACCAUAAUAGUGUCAGCAUCCACAGACAUUGUGAAUUUUCCUCUACCAGACUCUUUAUCUAUAGACACAAUUCUGUAAUUCAUGCUUUGAAAAAGACAUAGGGCUUUUGUGCAUUGUGCUUCAUUAAUCUUAUGUUGAACUUCACAACAAUUGUGAACUUUGCAAGGGUCAUUUUUUAUGAUAGCUAUUUCACAGUUCUGACCUGGUUUUUUAACCUUUGGAGUUCAUAUUUCAGAAAGAUCUGUGGGUGGAGAGGGGACCUGCAUGGAGUUGCACUGACUUUAGUGAUGCUCAGCUGAAGCUCAGUGUCACCACGGGUCUAAUUGCAAGUGCUUUUUAAAUAGGAAUGAACACAGGAGGAAUAAGUACAGCAGGAUGAUCUGCUUUAGAAAGUUCAAAUUUAAAGAUUUCCUCCCUCCCUUCCUUCAGUCAUAAGUGCUGUACAAUAAUCUCACAUUUUGAUAAUGAAAAUACAUAAAAACAAACAAAAUGAAGAAAAAAGGGAAUUGCUGCAUUUGGGGUCUCAGGAAGAAAACAAAGUUUGGAUAGGCAAACAGUGGUCUUCUGAGGGGGAGGUGGAUUUAUUUGUCCUUGCCACUUUUAGUUUCUCUCUCUAUUGAAAUGAAUACUGCAUUCCAGUUUUUCAUAUGUAUAUCUGCACAGGUUAAUUUCUUUACAGAUUUCUAUUAUUCAUGUAUGUGCAUUUUUAUUGUGAUCAUUGUUUCUAAAAAAAAAAAAAAAAAAACUACAUUAGAGAAAAUGUAGUAUUGCAUAGAAAGGCUGUUAUUUUUCAAGACCUUGCCAAGCAUAUAUAGCAGCUGAUGGAAUGUUGUUGCUUUUUGGAGAGAAUGUCUAAGUGAAGACUCACUAGGAAGAAGAGCAUGGGUAAACACUACUCAUUCUUUUACAUUGUUUAACUCUGUGAAGUGCUGUCUAGGAAAAGGCCAGCACAAAGACUGGAAAUGGUUAUAUUUGAAGCUGGAAGCUUAGGUUCAGAAGUCUUCAUGAGACUAAUAAGAUCCUUCAUAAAUCUCACUCCCACAAAGCAGAUGGAAACUACGACUGGCCAGGAGUAUUCUAUGUAGAAUAGGAUUCAGAGGAAUAUAUAAUGCUUUUGGUUAGAAGAGACCUUAGAAGGUUAGAAGAGUCUUAGUCUUAGUCUUUAGGUUAGAAGAGAUCAUCUAGUUCUAACCCUCAUGCCAUGGACAGGGGCACCUUUCACUAGAUCAGGUUGCCCCAAACCCCCUGAUUCACCUCUACUCCUCUGUUUACCACUUUCUAUCCAGCUCAGGUUGGACAUCAAGAGCAGGUUCUUAGCCAGAGGGUGGUUGGGCACUCGAAUUGGUCCCCAGGGCAGAGGUCAUGAUACCAAGCUUGCCAGAAUUCAAGAAGUGUCUGUACAAUGCUCUCAGUCAUAUGGUCUGAUUUUGGGUGGUUCUAUGUGGAGCCAGGAGUUGGACUCAAUGAUCCUUAUGGGUCCCUUCCAACUUGGGAUAUUCUGUGAUUCUAUGAAUCCUUAAAAGUCUGACUAUAUAACAUUGUACAAGUGAAAGAUAGAUGAAGAUAUAGAGUUUAGAUCUGUUAAUUUAUUAUCCUUGUUUCUGGCAGUUCCUUGGUAGCCACUGGGGGAAGAUGAGAUGGUAGACUUCACUGUUUACUGCCAUGCUUCUGCCUGGUACAGUGGGACACUUUUUUUUAUUACACAGUUUGAGCAUCGUUUCUUUUAGUUAAUCUGCCAAGGGCCUAGUGAUGAAUCAUUCUUGAAUGAAAGCUGUAUCAGAUGAAGACUGACAUUUGUAUAUUUUUAUCUUUGGAGUCUUGCCCUCAUUUCUCACAUUUGAUACAUACACAGAACUUCUUGGCUCACUGCAUCCAUGCCCAUCUGUUGUAGUGGCAUUAUGCCCAGCUUUCACAAGUUGGUCAGAUGGUUCUGUGUGAUAUAGAUGGUGAUAAUUCUAGGGUAACUGUCUCCCAGACACUGGAAUUCCUCCCUCUGGAAGACAAACUGAAGUAUCAGUAUUUCAGGGGUCACUGCAGUGCUUACACCCUUCAGCUUUAGUGUACCACGGAACAACUGAAAAUAGCAGACAGGGAGACAUAAACUUCUUGGGCACUAUGAUGCUGUACCCAAAGAUACUUGGAAAAAAGAUUCAGUGAUCCUAAUGAAGACUCUUAUUUUCAUAUAAUGGGGAAAGAAUUUCUGCAAACUGUGUUUCUGAACAACAUAUGUUUGUUGUUCUACAACAUCUACAACUAUCUAUAACAAUCUACAACUAUCAUUUAUGCCUCAGCAUUAUACAUCACCAUAGAGAUAAACUCCAACACGAGGACCACUGCAGUCUUAACAGGUUGUGAUGUUUGCAGGUAUAAUUCUUCAGACUAAUACAUUUUGUUUAAACAAACAAUAAUUGUCUCUUUGUUUAUGUGACAACUGGAGUGAAACCUCAUCUUCAAGAGAUGAAUAUAAUCACAGAGAAACAGCACAUCUGUAGGAUAUUUAUACUACCCAAGUUUUAUCCCUUUCUAUAAGGCUAUUAGAAAUGUUGCAAAAAUAGCAAAUCUCAUUGGCAUAACUGAGCAUUAGCUUGAAUUCUGAGACAGUUAAUGUAAUAUUCAAAAAAUGGAAGAUUUUUAUUGGAUGUUAGGGCAAAGAGCAUGAGAGCAAUAUUUCUCUUAUUUUUAUUAUAUAUAGUUUUCUUGCCUUUAUUAGUCAAAAUUCUAAGUUUUGAUCAACUACAGAUAUCUGCAAAAAAAACAAAGGACUGCACUAUCUCAUAGAUUUUAGGGAAAGAUGUGUUCUGACUGCCUAACUCUUAUAUGCAGGACUAAAUGAUUUGUGUUUCAAGACACAACCUGAAAUUUAGUUUCAAGUACCUCCGCCCUUCUAAUUUAUACAAACUAUGAAAUAAUAACGUGUCUAGCUUUCUUUCUAAGUUCUGUAGCAGGGUUAUGUGUAGCAAGGUCAUAGGGAAUAUGAGCAGGAUUUAGACCACUGUGAAACAGGUCAGUUUUACCUUACUAAUGAUGUGUGGAAAAGGGUAAAAGAAAUAUUUGAGAGCUCCUACAAAGUAAAGGAAGAUAGAAAUCAAGGAAUUUGUUAAAAUUAUAUGAAUGAAAAUGACACACAACAACAAUACUUACGCAAGUUUUUAAGUACAACAGAGUUUUCUCUUGCAAAAGCAGAUGUAAUCUGCAUGUGCAGAUUAUGUUGUGUCCUUUAUCAUGCUUCAAUCAGGAUGAGGAUUGACUUUUUACAUGGUCUGAUAGUGAUAGGACAAGGGGGAAUGGCUUUAAACUAAAAGAGGAGAAAUUUUGUUUGGAUGUUAGAAAGAAAUUUUUUACUCAAAAGGUGGUGGGGUGGUGAAGAACACACUGCCUAGAGAGGUGGUGGAUGCCCCAUCUCCGUAGGGACUCAAGGCCAGAUUGGAUGGAAUCCUGAGCAGCCUUAUGUAGAGGUUGACAACACUGUCCAUGGUAGAGGAGUUGGAAUUAGAUGACCUUCUAUUAUGAGAAUGCCUGCAACCUCAGUUGGUGUUUUGAUAACAGUGAAGAACAUAGUAUAAACUAUGAGUCUGAAGAGUCCUUUCCCAUUGGAUGAUUCCUGAAAUAUCUCAAAUCUGUGAAAUACAUUUUAUUAUGCCGGAGUUCUCGGAGCUUUUGAAAGAUAACGAUAACUCCUCUAAAAAAAAAAAGAAAGAAAAAAGGUACAUAUAGAAACAAAUAAAAUAUAUGCUCAAAUAUUGAUCAUUAAGUAUCAGCAUUAGUUCCCAUCUCAUUCAUUUUUUGAGGAUGUGAAAGAUCAGGUGGGGAUAUUUCAAAGUCUUUCUGCACCAUCCUAAAAAGUGAUAUCUGGAUUUUUUUUUAAAUUUACUUUCCAUUUGAUUUCACUCCAAAAUAUUGCUACUAAAGCCAGAAUUUUAAGAACAGGGAGAUGAAUGAUAAAUGAGAGUCUGUGGGAGGGAGGGAUGGAGUAUUUCCUUGUGCUGCAGUUCUGAAGAUGGUGCAUCUCAGACCAGUUAUACUAAGCCUUAAAAAGAGCUUGGUAUAUGAGACGAUUAAGAGAUUUGCCUCCUUUUGAUUUUUAAUCUUCAGAAAACAAAAUUGAUCCCUAAUGAAAAUUGUCACUUUCUUUUUUCCAGAAUACAUUAAGUUUCUGUAACACCUUGCAGUGCCAAGGCUUCUCAUUUUGCCUCACUGCUCUUAAAAAGUCCAUUCAUGUGGGCUAGCAGAAGCCUUUAUUAUAUUUCACUGCUAAUCUAUUCUUCAGUUAAUAAAACCAUAGGUGGUAAUCCACAGUGUUUGUGUCCCAUUUCUGUGUACAAUAUGUGUGUAACUGUACUGGUGCACAGAAUAGUCAAUGGACAUUAACUAUGUUAAACAAGAAGCAUUGUACCCUCAAGCAUGAACCACAGAUUCCCACAGAAAUUCUCUAAAUCAAGUGUUGAGUAGAUUUUUGUCUUCCUGGCUAUUUUGUUAUCUCUGUUGUAAGACUCUUGGUUUUUUGGCGGUUCUGAACAGAUAUUGUGAUAGUCACCAUAGUAAACAGCUCUCCUAUUGCAUUUUGUACUAGGAUAUUGAACAUUUUCCUGAGCAAAGUGCAAUGUGAUGCCAAGUAUUUCCAUCCCCUGCAGCUUCUUACAAAGGGAACCAGUCCACAGCUUGCUAAUAGAGAUGGAGGAGCUCUUCCUUGUAAGCUUUCAAAAUAAUCCAUUUUAAAGGACUGUUUCAGCAUAAUGAAUGCUUGGUGACUUGAAAUCCCAGUGGGUUUUGAAGAAACAAAUACUGUACUGUACAUGCAGAAUCUGUAAAAUUUGAGCCUUGCACUUGAAGUAAUGUAGAUGUAUCCUAGCAGUGAUAAUAACAGCCUUUUCAGGUAUAGAAGAACUAAUUUGUAGUUAUAAAUAAGAAACCAGAAUAAUUUGUAAUUUACUAUUUCAUAACCUUUUAUACAUUUGUAAUAAUUUAAUCUAUCAAACAUAUCCACUCCAUAGGUACAGAUGUAUGAUGUACAUAGAAGGAAAAUAACAAACAAAUGUUCAUGAUUAAAGAAGCCUUAUGCUUCUCUGUUUAUGGUGUUUAAAGACUGAAACUGUGAUUGAAGUUUACUGGCUCUGUGUGCGGCUCUUAUUUUUUUUCUCUUUCUCUUUGUUAGGUUAAUUCAGCUUCAAUAACAAGCCUUUUCUGUCCUGCUACCAAAUACCUCCAAAUGUACAGCAAGGGAAAGUGGCUUUUCAAAUUAAGGGGAACAGUGAACCAAAACAAGAACACAAUAAAAGAAAGAGCAGGGUGAUACAUGUAAAUGAUGUACUCACUGGGAACUAACAGUGGUAGCUUGCAGUGAAGGGAUUUAGCUUUCUUGUUAAUUCAGCUGAUAGGGAGACAGGCAUAUUUGGGAAGAGGCUUGGCCAGGUUCCUUUACUUCACAAAAGCUUCAGUGUUUACAUCAUCAGGGGCUUUGGGAUUCUUUAAAAACUUGUUAGUUUGGUAAAAAUGUGCAGCUAGUUUGGUAAAAAGGAAAAUCACAUUUACAUGAUGAACAUAAUCUGUCUCCAUUGAUAUUCAUACUUUAAUAACAAACACAUAUCAGAUGAAGUCUCUUGAGUAUUUUAAUUUUAGCAGAAUAAGGAGUAAACUUCUUUCUGUAACUCUGCUAUGUCUUACAUAGUUCCUUUAGGAGUCCAGCAAUGCUUUUUUUUAGAGUAAAAAAGCCUGACCAAUGGGGGAUGCAUUUGUUGGCCUGCUUACUGUAUGCAAGUUUCUUCUGCAUAGUAACUGCUUAUGCUACCCUACUGGAGAGGGAUUAAGAUGUUUUAUAUUCUGUGUGUGCAUUGGAGAGGAUGUGUUUUACCUAAUCUUGUUUAGCCACCAUGCAGACAGCUUUGAGGAUUUUUAUUUUUUUUAUCCCAGUAUCCUUUAAAACCUGCAGAUCUUUGGAAAGGGAAGGUAUUUCCAUUUCUUUCGUUUGCUUUUCAAAAGUGCAGAGCUUGGCCUUUAUCUUGAGGACCAAAGAAGAAAAUACUAAGCAUGGCACUCCUGCCUACAGGCUUGGUACUUGCUAAAUGUUUUGGCCAAUUAAGUGUAGGUGGGAAAGACUGAACUGCUCUCAGAAAUUUGUCUUCAUUUUGUGUAUGAAAGAAAAAUAAUAUGUUCUAAAGCUCUUUGAUGAUAAUUGGAUAUAAUAUAGGUCUACAGAUCCAAUGUUCUCCAAAGUAUAGCAGAUGCUCAUUGUCUUCAAACAGCCACAUCUGGCUUCUUUUUCAAAGCAGUGUCUCAGUGUUGAAGGAUUGAUUCUUUCUUUUUUUUUGCUGGUUACUGUGUGCAUGCAGAAGUAGAAAGAGGGGAAAGAAAGAAAGUAAAAUGAUCACCUGAAAUGGUGGGAUUUCUUUUGGAAGUGGAAAUUUUUUGCCCAAGUCUAAAAUCUUUUAAAAGUCUUCAAAUACACCUCAACUACUUGAGCAAAGGAGGAAUUGCAAGAAUGCCCAAAGAGUUUGUAGUGCUUGAGAGAUAUUAAGGUAAAAAGUAAAGAACUUGAAAGUUUGGAAGUAUGCUAGAGGGGUACAGAUGCACUAGGAAAGACUACACGAUUUUUAGAAUACAAGAAAAAAUAACUAGUUUGUUUCUUAUCUAUCCUAUGUUGCCACUACCACAGUAGCAUUUUUAUUAUCCUGAUACUAGAUUCUCAUAUUUGUAUUCCUCCUUUGGGAUUUGGUUCUGUACUUUUGCAGUCCUUACACCAAACAUGCUGCCAAUCUUUGGGAGACAUGCAUCUAUAUACACACAACUUCAUAUGUUUAUAACAAAAAUAAUUCAUUUUUUAAUUACAGCGUAGUAAGGCCGUAAGUGAAUGUGGCCUUGUGACCAAGGCUCUAGGCAAAUGACUAGGCCACUGACAGUUGCAUGAUCUGAGCUUAGUCUACGUGGACAAGAUAGGCAAAACUACUGGACAUGAGAACAUACUGGACAUGACAUUCUUGUUCAAGGUGGUUUAUCAGCAAGUGGUGCAUCCUCUGGGGAAUGUUUACAUACUAGCAAUUCUGAAAUGGAAGAAAUUCAUAACUUGUUUUCAAAGGAUAUUUUUUUGUUUAGCAGAAUCCUAAAUUGAAGAGAAAGGCCUCAUCUUAUGUCCUGAAGUCUGUAACUUCUCAGGGAUUUUCUUUCUGCCUUAUUAGAUGUAUAAUGGAAACUCAGCUGCUAUUCUAGUUUGAGAUUUAACCUGAUAGAAAAGCAGUGAGCUGAAAUGUUCAGUAGAGGCAAAUACAAAGUGCUGAAAACAAGGAAAAGCACUGAUUGAAAAACACUGGAUUACAUGUAUUGUGCUGAGAAACCUCCUUUCAACAUCUAUAUCUCGAAUAUGGAGCAGUCUUUAGGGACAUCUACACAAAGUAAGAAGAAGUUACAUAAGCUUCAUAGGGAUUGCAAGUGGAAGUUCUGAGCAACACAAAUUUGAAACUGGCCAUAAAUCUUGCAGGAUGGAAAAUCCAAGCAAAAUUUCCAGAACAUUCUUCUUCCACUUAGGGAAAAAAUUACCCGUUGUUUAUGUUCAGCGUUUCUCUGAAAAUACCAAGAUUUUCAUCAAAAUACGUAAUUGUAACUAAGAUUUAACAGCAAAUAUUACAAUUAAGGAUUUCAUAAAAUACCCUACAGGAAGCUCAUCCGGAAUGCAAAUAAUUUUACAAGUGCUUACCACAGGAUGAGCAGUAAGAAAAGGAAAAGAGUUUGAGGCUGAUACAAAGGCUGUGCUUUACAUGCAGUCAGGCUGUCUCCAGCAAUCAGCUGCUUAGCUGCUGAUAUCUAAGUGCUGGAGAAACCUGCAGUGGGAACCUUCCACCUCGAGGUGCUCCUCCAACAACCUGCUGGGCAGACAGGAAGCUGUGUCUCUAGCCUGCAACUGCCUCAAAGUGCUAUGAAGGAGUCUUCUCAGUUCCCUUUCCUGUGCUGUCUGAAUGCCUGUGGAGCAGGAGAAAACUGAGAUUGAGUAACAACUCUUCCCUUACAUGGGUUGAUAACAAAGAUCAGAAAGAUGGAGAUCAGGGGAGAAAAAUCCUUCCCACUGUAAGAGAAGGGCAAGUUGGAGCCCACAUGAUGACACUGAAUGUGUACAAGUCUAUGGGGCCAGAUGACUUGCAUUCCAGGGUCUUGAAGGAACUGGCUGAUGUGGUUGUCAAGCCACUCUCCAUCAUAUUUGAAAAUUCGUGGCUGUCAGGAGAAGUCCCUGGUAAAUGGAAAAAGGGAAACAUCACUCCCAUAUUCAAGAAAGGGAGAAAGGAAGACCCAGAGAACUUCAGGCUGAUGAGCUUCAUGUCUGUGCUUGGGAGGAUCAUGGAACAGAUCCUUCUGGAAGACAUGUUACGACAUGCAAGACAAGGAGGUGAACUGAGACAGCCACCACAGCUUCAACAAGGGCAGAUCAUGCCUGCCAAGCUGGUGACCUUCUACAAUGAAGUGAUGGCAUCAGUGGACAAAGGAAAGACAAGUCAUCUAGCUGGAUUAGUGCUAGCCUUUUGACAUGGUCCCACACCACAUUCUUAUCUCCAAAUUGUAGAACUAUGGAUUUUAAGAGUGGACUAUUCAGUGGAUAAGGAAUUGUUGGAUGGUUGCAGCUAGAGGGUUGUGGUCAAUGGCUCUGUGUCCAGAUGGAGGCCUCUAAUGAGUGGUGUCCCCCAAGGGCUCAUCUUGGAACUGAUGCUCUUCAACGUCUUUAUCAGUGACAUAGACAGUGAGACUCAGUGUACUCUCGGUCAUUUCUGCCAGUGAGCUGGCACACGAUGAUGCACUCCAUACAAACUUCCUCCACAUGUCCUGCAUGCGCUUGACAUCACAAGGAUCUUGGGAAAACUGCUUAUUGUCCAAAUAGCCAAAAUAAAGCAUCAUACCAGACACUGUGAAGAACAUCAACUGUAUACCAGCUGAAACCAGGAUAUCUACACAGCAUGUAUCUCCUUUUAUUUAAAUACCACAGUGUUACCUCUUUGAAAGAUGAAUGUCUUCUGCACUGUUUGCUUCAAAUUUAAGGUACAUUACACUUAAAUACAUUCUCUGAUCUCGUGUCAGAGUUGAAGUCUUCAGCUGUAUGUGAGAUGGAUCAUUACUGCUUUAGUAUUUGAACAGACUGGAAAUCCUUUCUGAACGAUCCAAAGGUCCCUCCUCAGCCAUCUGGCCAGCAGUCUCCAUUGCAAGCAGAGUUUACAGCUUUGUCCAACUGGCCUUCACUUGCAGGCAAAAGCCUCGAAUGUGAUCUGAAUUCUGUGGGAGAUCCAUCUUUUAAGGAUCGGCGUCACUUGGUGCUGGAAUGUCAACACAAGUAUGACUGUGGUUUCAGCAAUAAUACUGCAAACCUCCUAUAUACACAGAAGCAAGAGGAUGGAAGCACAGGAUUCUUUCCAAACCACGCUCAGGACUUCAGAGCAGAUACAUCAGUUAAUGUUCUUCAGAAGGUUCGACUCUGGUUUCCUAGGAGUAAUGCCAGUGAUGCCAGUGACUUUGUAACACUCUACUUUUACUACAUUAAGACAUACUCCAGAUGAAGAAAAAGUCUUUUCAGAGGAAACCACCCUUUAAACAAUAGAUUAAAGGAUAUUCUUUUUUUUUUUUCUUUCUAUCAUAGUAGCCCAUGUCCUGGUCACCUGCCAGCAACUGAUAAUAUGUUUUGAAUGCCCUAUCAUCAUCACAAACUUUCUCAGAAGCACUUGUCAGCUGAUCAGUCUCCUUUAGUCUCUAGGAAUUCACUUUAUCUUGAUAAAGUAUAGCUUCUAUAUAUCUACAGACAGAAUAAAACACCCUGUAAGCUGA